rnacentral:rRNA from 1 species
ACGCACGCUGGCGGCGUGCUUAACCCAUGCCAGUCGAACGGAAAGGCCUGCUUUCCCUUGUGGAUUGCGGGUACUCGAGUGGCGAACGGGUGAGUAACACGUGAGUGAUCUGCCCCCAACUUGGGUAUAAGCCUGGGAAACUGGGUCUAAUUCCCGAUAGGACUGCAGGGUGGUGCCUGUGGUGGAAAACGAUUUUCUAGUGGUUGGGGAUGAGCUCGCGGCCUAUCAGCUUGUUGGUGGGGUAAUGGCCUACCAAGGCGGCGACGGGUAGCCGGCCUGAGAGGGUGGACGGCCACAUUGGGACGGGGAUACGGCCCAGACUCCUACGGGAGGCAGCAGUGGGGAAUAUUGCACAAUGGGCGGAAGCCUGAUGCAGCGACGCCGCGUGGGGGAUGACGGCCUUCGGGUUGUAAACUCCUUUCGACCGCGAGGAAGCCACCUGGUUGGAAGGGUGGUGACGGUAGUGGUAGAAGAAGCACCGGCUAACUACGUG